UGGACUGUGAGCCCAAGUGUGUAGA
rnacentral:piRNA from 1 species